AGGGCGUACGGUGGAUGCCUUGGCGAUAUCAGCCGAAGAAGGACGCGGUAAGCUGCGAUAAGCUACGGAGAGGUGCAAGCAACCUUUGACCCGUAGAUUUCCGAAUGGGGGAACCCGGCAGUGGUUAUGCACUGUCACCCAUACCUUUGAGUAUGAGGAGGGCACCUGGGGAACUGAAACAUCUAAUUACCCAGAGGAAGAGUAAUCAAACGAGAUUUUCUUAGUAGCGGCGAGCGAACGGGAAAGAGGCCAAACCGGAGCGGGCAACCGCACCGGGGUUGAGGACAGUCAUCAAGUGUAAAUGAGGUAGAAGAAUCGAGUUGGAAAGCUCAGCCGCAGAAGGUGAAAGCCCUGUAAUCGAAACCUUGCAUACAUGGGACUGUAUCCAGAGUACCACGAGACACGUGAAACCUUGUGGGAAGCAGGGGGGACCACCCUCCAAGCCAAAAUACUGAUAUCGACCGAUAGCGCAUAGUACCGUGAGGGAAAGGUGAAAAGAACCCCUGGCGGGGAGUGAAAGAGAACCUGAAACCGUAUGUCUACAAACAGUCGAAGUCUGUAUAUAUAUCAGGACGACGGCGUGCCUAUUGAAGAAUGAACCGACGAGUUACUGUUGCUAGCGAGGUUAAGUGGAAAACAUGGAGCCGCAGCGAAAGCGAGUCUGAACAGGGCGUUCAGUUAGUGAUAGUAGACCCGAAACCGUAGUGAUCUAUCCAUGGCCAGGUUGAAGCACAGGUAAAAUUGUGUGGAGGACCGAACUCGUGAGCGUUGAAAAGCUUUGGGAUGAGUUGUGGAUAGGGGUGAAAUGCCAAUCGAACACGGAGAUAGCUGGUUCUCCCCGAAAUAGCUUUAGGGCUAGCCUCGAGGUUGAGAGUAUAGGCGGUAGAGCACUGAUCGGGCUAGGGGCCAUACCGGUUACCGAACCUAGUCAAACUACGAAUGGCUAUACUUAUACUCGGGAGUCAGACAGUGAAUGAUAAGGUCCAUUGUCAAGAGGGAAACAGCCCAGAACACCGACUAAGGUCCCCAAUGUCAUACUAAGUGGCGAAGGAUGUGGAAUUUCCAAAACAACCAGGAUGUUGGCUUAGAAGCAGCCACCAUUUAAAGAGUGCGUAAUAGCUCACUGGUCGAGAGACUCUGCGCCGAAAAUGUCCGGGGCUAAAGUAUGAAACCGAAGUCGUGUCAUAUGCAGCAAUGUAUAUGGGUAGGGGAGCGUUCUCAUUGGGUUGAAGCAGUACCGUAAGGAGUUGUGGACUGAUGAGAAGUGAGAAUGUCGGUAUGAGUAGCGAAAAGAAUGGUGAGAAUCCAUUCCACCGAAAGCCUAAGGGUUCCUGAGCAACGAUCGUCGUCUCAGGGUAAGUCGGGACCUAAGCCGAGGCGGAAAAGCGUAGGCGAUGGACAACAGGUUGAAAUUCCUGUACCGGUGUGAAUCGUUUGAUCGAAGGAGUGACACAGUAAGGUAGGUCAGCACGCGAUUGGAAGUGCGUGUUUAAGCAUGUAGGUUGAGUUAUAGGCAAAUCCGUAACUCUAAAAGCUGAGAUGUGAUGACGAGCUGUUUACAGCGAAGUGAUUGAUCCUACACUGUCGAGAAAAGCUUCUAGGUAGAGACACAUCGCCCGUACCAAAACCGACACAGGUAGGCGGGGAGAGAAUCCUAAGGUGCGCGGGAAAACCCUCGUUAAGGAACUCGGCAAAAUGCCUCCGUAACUUCGGGAAAAGGAGGACUCAUGUAGUGUGAAGGGCAGUAACGCGUGGAGCAUGAAUGAGUGGCACAAGAGAGGCGCAAGCGACUGUUUACCACAAACACAGGUGCCUGCUAAAGCGAAAGCUGAUGUAUAGGUGCUGACACCUGCCCGGUGCUGGAAGGUUAAGAGGAGGGGUUAGACUUCGGUCGAAGCUCUGAAUUGAAGCCCCAGUAAACGGCGGCCGUAACUAUAACGGUCCUAAGGUAGCGAAAUUCCUUGUCGGGUAAGUUCCGACCCGCACGAAAGGUGUAACGACUUGCGCACUGUCUCAACGAGGGACCCGGUGAAAUUGAAGUACCUGUGAAGAUGCAGGUUACCCGCGACUGGACAGAAAGACCCCAUGGAGCUUUACUGCAGCUUGAGAUUGAAUCCCGGUGGCAGACGCACAGGAUAGGUGGGAGGCUUUGAGAUAGUGACUUUGGUUGCUAUGGAGCCGACGCCCAUGCCUUUUUCAAGCUGUCCUGCACAAACUUAGCCGCGCAGGACAAAAUAUUGUCGUUAUCCCGGCGCCGGUCUUUCUCGAAAAACCGGUAAUAGAUCAGUACCGGUGCCGUAAUGGUGCCAAUACCAGGAAGCUGCCGCCGGAUCUGCCAGAUGAUUCCAUCCUCAUUCUUCUGCUUCAUGUGUCCGCCCUUGUGCGGAUUCGUCCGGUUGGCGGCAGUGUAUUCAUUCAAACCAUCCAACCGCCCCGGGAUCGUGAACUUAUACUCCAUCCGCACCACCCAUUCCAGCAUUGCAGCUUCUCACAUCAAGGAUCGUAUUGUUACUCGGAUUCCACCCCUCUACAUAUUCAAGAGCAUUCUCAAAACGCAGUGACGGGAUGUUAUUUCUCGAAUUGACUGCGAAAUAGUCCUGUAUAUCAUGAUUGCAUUCCGCGAAAACCUUUUUGCUUAAUUCCUUGUACGCCGGUGCUUUCUUACCACCAAGGAUCUCGAUGACUCUCUUAUUUACAGCUUUCUUUAAUUCCUGCUGCUGACCGUAGUCAAUCGUCAUGGUAUUUUCGAGA
rnacentral:rRNA from 1 species